UAAUUGUGGGAAAUAUGGACAUUUGA
rnacentral:piRNA from 1 species